GACGAACGCUGGCGGCGUGCUUAGCACAUGCAAGUCGAACGAUGAAGGAGGAGCUUGCUCCUCUGGAUUAGUGGCGAACGGGUGAGUAACACGUGAGCAAUCUGCCCUUGACCCUGGGAUAAGCGCUGGAAACGGCGUCUAAUACCGGAGACGACCCUCGGAGGCAUCUCCUGUGGGUGGAAAGAACUUCGGUAAAGGAUGAGCUCGCGGGCUAGCAGCUUGUAGGUGAGGUAGCGACUCACCCAGGCGACGACGGGUAGCCGGCCUGGGAGGGUGGCGGGCCGUACUGGGACUGAGAAACGGCGCAGACUCGUACGGUAGGCGGCAGUAGGGAAAAUUGGACGAGGGGCGCAAGCCUGAUGCAGCAACGCCGUGUGAGGGACGACGGCCUUCGGGUUGUAAACCUCUUUUAGCGGGGAAGAAGCGAGAGUGACGGUACCUGCGGAAAAAGCACCGGCUAACUACGUGCCCGCCGCCUCCGUAG
rnacentral:rRNA from 1 species